GAACAUAAAUACGGUAAAUUUGUUGAAAUGCAUUAUAGUAGAUCCUGAUCUCCAGAAUCCAAGAACUCAAGUUAACCAAUACACAGUAGCCUACAAUAAUCGGAGAUCUUUUGUGCUACAUUUAAUGUCAAUUUUUAAUAUCGUUCUGCAAACCGUAAUAGGUAUGAUUCAGAUUUACAGAAACAGAGAUGAAAAAUCACUGUCUCAUGCAUGAAAAAAACAUACAAAAUUGAACGUAUCACUGAAAUUUGAGGUGCCGUUGAAAAGGACAAUAAGUUGACGGAAGUACGCUCCCCAAUUUGGCGCCAAGCAUCAAUGGCAAUUAUCAGCUGAUUUUGUUGAUUUUUUGAUGGUCGUUGGUGAGAGUGGGUGACGCGAAAAGAAUUGAGGAGUUUUUGUUUUUCGACUUUUAUUUCAACUGCAUUUCAAGAUGGACGAGUACCCUGAUCCAGAUGACAUGUUUGAGAUGAUGCAUCAAGAGGAACUGGAGGCCAUGAGAGAGAUGGAAGAUUUUGAUAUAGAAGCAGCUGAAACAGAGGCUGCAACAAUCCCACCAAGCAUCAAAAGAAGUCUAAAAUUCACUAGUCCUGUUCCUUCUACAUUGGCCAGCAAAGAUGAUAAUUCUUCAGCAGUAGGAGUUGUUGGAACAUCCGGAA